rnacentral:rRNA from 1 species
UACGGAGGGUGCUAGCGUUGCUCGGAAUUACUGGGCGUAAAGGGCGCGUAGGCGGCCGUUUGCGUCGGAUGUGAAAGCCCGGGGCUCAACCUCGGAACGGCAUUCGAUACGGGACGGCUGGAGACCGGGAGAGGAGAGUGGAAUAGCCAGUGUAGAGGUGAAAUUCGUAGAUAUUGGCUGGAACACCGGUGGCGAAAGCGGCCCUCUGGCCCGGUUCUGACGCUGAGGCGCGAAAGCGUGGGGAGCAAACAGG